rnacentral:rRNA from 1 species
GAUGAACGCUGGCGGCGUGCCUAAUACAUGCAAGUCGAGCGAACUGAUUAGAAGCUUGCUUCUAUGACGUUAGCGGCGGACGGGUGAGUAACACGUGGGCAACCUGCCUGUAAGACUGGGAUAACUUCGGGAAACCGAAGCUAAUACCGGAUAGGAUCAUCUCCUUCAUGGGAGAUGAUUGAAAGAUGGUUUCGGCUAUCACUUACAGAUGGGCACGCGGUGCAUUAGCUAGUUGGUGAGGUAACGGCUCACCAAGGCAACGAUGCAUAGCCGACCUGAGAGGGUGAUCGGCCACACUGGGACUGAGACACGGCCCAGACUCCUACGGGAGGCAGCAGUAGGGAAUCUUCCGCAAUGGACGAAAGUCUGACGGAGCAACGCCGCGUGAGUGAUGAAGGCUUUCGGGUCGUAAAACUCUGUUGUUAGGGAAGAACAAGUACAAGAGUAACUGCUUGUACCUUGACGGUACCUAACCAGAAAGCCACGGCUAACUACGUGCCAGCAGCCGCAGUAACAC